AGCCAUCUGCCGGAGAAAGGUACAUCUGAUUUAAAUGGGCUCAUUUGUAUUGCUAAGUCAAUUCACAAGUGGAAAUUUACUCAUGUGACCUCGAACAGCUGAACAUACUGAUAUCGUACUCUUGCAACCUUUCUCUGGCUAUAAAAGAAGUAUCCAAGGAAAGCCACGAACAUUUUAUCAUACUUUUGACAUCAAUCUUGUAAAAGAUGAAAGUUCUAAUUAGCCUCUUUGUAGUUCUCGGCUUUACCCUAGCUGUGGUGGUUGCCCAGAAAAAACUUCCUUUCUGUGGAUUGAACGAAAAGCAAAUGGAGGUUUUUGCAAUAUGCUGGCGAGAGAAAAAUUCCGAGGCGUUUAUGAACAAGUAUGAUGAGUGUAAAAACCGAUAUUUUCCGGAUUACACUGACGCUGCGGUCGCCACAAUUGC